UCCGUAGGUGAACCUGCGGAAGGAUCAUUACCGAAGUCAAGGCCCCUUCGGGGGCUAAACUUCCACCCUUUGUUUACCUUACCAUUGUUGCUUUGGCGGGCCGCCUAAGGCCACCGGCUCUCGAGCUGGUGCGUGCCCGCCAGAGACCCCCAAACCCAAACCAUAUUUAGUGUCGUCUGAAAACAAGUUUAAAUUAUUAAAACUUUCAACAACGGAUCUCUUGGCUCUGGCAUCGAUGAAGAACGCAGCGAAAUGCGAUAAGUAAUGUGAAUUGCAGAAUUCAGUGAAUCAUCGAAUCUUUGAACGCACAUUGCGCCCCUUGGUAUUCCGGGGGGCAUGCCUGUUCGAGCGUCAUUAUCACCCCUCAAGCUCAGCUUGGUGUUGGGGCAUGCCCGUCACAGGGCAGCCCUUAAAAGCAGUGGCGGUGCCAUCUGGCUCUAAGCGUAGUAAUACUCCUCGCUAUAGGGUCCCGGUGGUGUCCUGCCAGAACCCCAAAUUUUAUCAUGAUUGACCUCGGAUCAGGUAGGGAUACCCGCUGAACUUAA
rnacentral:rRNA from 1 species